CCUAGGUUUGCUUGCUUGGGUAUAGCAUUUGAUGUAAAUUGGCCUUUUACUCUCUUUGGAGGAUAAUAGAACUUCACGACCUGUUGUCGUUUCAUAACUUUCUUCAGUUGGUAUUCACCAUACUAUCGGUUGAUAAUUUACUGG